UGAGGAAGCCUGGCAAUCGCGUGUAGCAUACAGCUAUGCGAGGAAAGUCCGAACUCCACAGAGCGGGAUGCUGGCUAACGGCCAGUGGGGGUGACCUUAAGGAAAGUGCAACAGAAACAUACCGCCUGUGCUCAGCGCAUAUGUGAGGGCACAGGUAAGGGCGAAAUGGUGAGGUAAGAGCUCACCAGCAGCCGGGUGAUCGGCUGGCUGGGCAAACCCCAUCCGGAGCAAGACCGAGCAGAGGGGAUAGUUUUCUCGCACGUCGAGGAGGCUAGCAGGCGGCUCGUCUGUCAACCCUCGGGUUGGUUGCUUGAGAUGCUGAGUAAUCAGUGUCCCAGAUAGAUGAUUGCCACCCGUGUAGUCGAGAGGCUGCGCGGGAACAGAAUUCGGCUUAUGGCUUCUCUCAACUC
rfam:Ktedonobacter racemifer DSM 44963 strain SOSP1-21 Krac_Contig206, whole genome shotgun sequence.